rnacentral:lncRNA from 1 species
GGUAUUUUAAAACUCAGGUUGAUCUCUCAUCUUAACUGUGAUUGGUUCAAUUUUACCAUACCGAAAGAAUAAAUUCAUUUGAGCUUUUACCUACGCCUUUGCCGACAUCUUCAGGCCGCGGGGCGGGAUGUCGCACACGGCCGUCUUCACGUUGUUGGGGAUCCACUCCACGAAGUAGCUGCUGUUCUUGUUCUGCACGUUGAGCAUCUGCUCGUCCACCUCCUUCAUGGACAUGCGGCCCCGGAAGAUGGCAGCCACCGUCAGGUAGCGGCCGUGGCGCGGGUCGCAGGCGGCCAUCAUGUUCUUGGAGUCGAACAUCUGCUGGGUGAGCUCGGGCACCGUGAGCGCCCGGUACUGCUGGCUGCCCCGGCUGGUCAGGGGCGCGAAGCCGGGCAUGAAGAAGUGCAGGCGAGGGAAGGGCACCAUGUUCACCGCCAGCUUGCGCAGGUCUGCGUUCAGCUGGCCCGGGAAGCGCAGGCAGGUGGUGACCCCGCUCAUGGUGGCCGACACCAGGUGGUUGAGGUCCCCGUAGGUGGGGGUGGUCAGCUUCAGGGUGCGGAAGCAGAUGUCAUACAGGGCCUCGUUGUCAAUGCAGUAGGUUUCAUCUGUGUUUUCCACCAGCUGGUGGACCGAGAGGGUGGCGUUGUAGGGCUCCACCACCGUGUCUGACACCUUGGGUGAGGGCAUGACGCUGAAGGUGUUCAUGAUGCGGUCUGGGUACUCUUCCCGGAUCUUGCUGAUGAGUCGACCAGCUCGGCUCCCUCUGUGUAGUGGCCCUUGGCCCAGUUAUUCCCGGCUCCACUCUGGCCUGCCAGAGGGAAAGAGAAAUCUUAAGUCACCGGUGAUUGUACUAAAUACCUUACCUCAAACCCCUCAAUAUCGCUGUGGCUGCGGGACCCUCACCCGGCGCUGAAAACCCUCCACAUCAGCUCCUGCUCGGAAAUGUCUCCGCAGCUCACCAGUGCUUUUCGAAAUCCCCAAUAUUUAGCUCCCACUUAUAAGUGAGAACAUGCAGUAUUUAGUUUUCUGUUUCUGUAUUAUUUCGCUUAGGAUAAUGACCUUCAGCUGCAUCCAUGUUGCUGCCAAGGACGUGAUUUUGUUUUCUUUUUUUUAAGGUAUCUGUGAUACGUCCCACUAGUUGCCAGGAGCAAUGGACUGCCUAUGCUCUAUGCCCCCAGUUUGCAUCAUAGGACUGGUACAGGUUUUGCAUUUAUUAUAUAUAUUUAUUCUUAUAAGCUAAUAUUCCAAGGCACAAUAUACUUAGUAUGAGGUACAUUGUUAAUGAUAUCAGAUAUUAAUAUUUCCAACUUUUCUAUUACUUCCAGUUUUAUUUUGGCCAACAUCUAGGCAGACUUGGGGUUCAACCCAGCUACAGUUCCUCCUUUAUGGAUCUCCCUUUCCAGGGAACAAUUCAUGACACAUGGCCACAAAACAUAAGCAUCCUGUGAGGGCACCUGUGUCAUUUUGAACUCUAACUACCUAAAGCAUAAUUUCUUUAUUUUUAUAUGAAACAAACAGAGGUUCUGAUUUUCUUCCCAUGCUCCAACAGAUGCUCUUGCCUGCCCCAUUCUGAGAACUCCUGAUUGGAUUCGAGUUAGUUCAUUGGCCUUUAUACCUUCCACAUUGCCUGAAACUAAGCACGGGCAAAUAAUAACAGAACUUGGGUUAAAAAAAUCACAAAUAUAAGGCAAUUAGGAAAAGCCCCCAGGUACCUCUAACCUGAAGCAGGAGCAGAUUGUUCUGCAGAUUAAGUACAAAGAAACCUUCCUCCUCUUUCUCCAUAAUUACCUCUUGGCCAGGUCCAG